rnacentral:rRNA from 1 species
AACGCUAGCUACAGGCUUAACACAUGCAAGUCGAGGGGAAACGACAUCGAAAGCUUGCUUUUGAUGGGCGUCGACCGGCGCACGGGUGAGUAACGCGUAUCCAACCUGCCCAUCACUUGGGAAUAACCUUGCGAAAGUAAGACUAAUACCCAAUGAUAUCCCACGAAGGCAUCCGAAUGGGAUUAAAGAUUUAUCGGUGAUGGAUGGGGAUGCGUCUGAUUAGCUUGUUGGCGGGGUAACGGCCCACCAAGGCAACGAUCAGUAGGGGUUCUGAGAGGAAGGUCCCCCACAUUGGAACUGAGACACGGUCCAAACUCCUACGGGAGGCAGCAGUGAGGAAUAUUGGUCAAUGGGCGGAAGCCUGAACCAGCCAAGUAGCGUGCAGGAUGACGGCCCUAUGGGUUGUAAACUGCUUUUAUACAGGAAUAAAGUUAGCCACGUGUGGUUAUUUGUAGGUACUGUAUGAAUAAGGACCGGCUAAUUCCGUGCCAGCAGCCGCGGUAAUACGGAAGGUCCAGGCGUUAUCCGGAUUUAUUGGGUUUAAAGGGAGCGUAGGCCGUCUGUUAAGCGUGUUGUGAAAUGUAGGUGCUCAACAUCUGAAUUGCAGCGCGAACUGGCAGACUUGAGUGUGCGCAACGUAGGCGGAAUUCGUGGUGUAGCGGUGAAAUGCUUAGAUAUCACGAAGAACUCCGAUUG